UAUCUGAAUAUAUUAUAUAUAAUAAUAUUGUAAUAUUACGUGGGAAAUAGAUAUCGAAAAAUCCCCGUAUGAAAACAUAUUAAAUGAUAUCUUUAACUUGGUGACAUUUUUAUUUUAAGUCUAUUAGAUCCUGAAUACUAUUGGAAAUAUGAAUUUACAUUUUGUCUACAAUUCCCGUUAUAUAGAUAAAUAUUAGUGACACGGUAAAUAUUACUGUGACAUUCUCUUUAGUGUUCCAGUGGUUCCAGUUGGCUUCAAAUUUCAAAGCAUGCCACAAUGUACAUAUGUCUGUCGUCUCAAAUAACAUCAUCAAUUCUCGUCAUCGGUUUUUCACAUUUUUUUUGGUUAUUUGGCGAAUUAAAACUCAUGUUAUUUAUUCAAACCAGGUAUAGAUUAUGUGUAAAUAGAUUUAUACCGAUAUUUAUUUUUAUUAAAAUAUAUUAAGUUUAAAUAUUGUUAAAAUAUUUUAAGUUCAAAUAUUGUUAUAAUUUUCAAUGUUGUAUAAUCAGUUCAGCCAUGAUUGAAAUAUACCAGGUAACUUUUUCCUGCUAUUUACCACUCUGAUGUUUUAUUUUUCAUACGAAUUGCAAAAGGCAAUGUUAUAUUUUAUUCAAAUUUUGUUGUUUUUUAUUUCCAAUUUUUCCGCG